GAAGGGAGGAAGGGAGGAGGAAAAUAUAUGAGAGAGGAGAGGAUAGGAAGAGAGGUGAGGGAAGAGGAGAGGAGCGAAGUAGAGGAGGGGAGAAGAGGAGUCCAGAUUUGAGAAAAGAGGCCAGGAUGGUGUUAUAUGUCCAAAGCAAAUGGCACUGUGUCCCAGUAGAAUUAUAACUCCUGCUGUGUGGAGCUACAGUAAAUAUGCUUCCCCAUUCUAUAUUCUGGAGAAUGGUGCUGCAGUAGGAAUGGUGCUGCAGUAGGAAAGGUGUUACAGUAGGAAAGGUGUUGCAGUAGGAAAGGUGCUGCAGUAGGAAUGGUGCUGCAGUAGGAAUGGUGCUGCAGUAGGAAAGGUGUUGCAGUAGGAAUGGUGCUGCAGUAGGAAAGGUGUUGCAGUAGGAAAGGUGCUGCAGUAGGAAUGGUGAUGCAGUAAGAAUGGUGUUGCAGUAGGAAAGGUGCUGCAGUAGGAAAGGUGCUGCAGUAGGAAAGGUGCUGCAGUAGGAAAGGUGCUGCAGUAGGAAAGGUGCUGCAGUAGGAAUGGUGCUGAAGUAGGAAUGGUGCUGCAGUAGGAAUGGUGCUGCAGUAGGAAUGGUGCUGCAGUAGGAAAGGUGCUGCAGUAGGAAUGGUGUUUCAGUAGGAAUGGUGCUGCAGUAGGAAUGGUGCUGCAGUAGGAAUGGUGCUGCAGUAGGAAUGGUGCUGCAGUAGUAAAGGUGCUGCAGUAGGAAAGGUGCUCGAGUAGGAAAGGUGC
rnacentral:lncRNA from 1 species